GGUCCAGUAGCUCAGGUGGCAGAGCAUUGGCAUAUAUAGCCAGGAGGUCCUUGGUUGAAUCCCAGACUGGGUCA